rnacentral:piRNA from 1 species
UCAGUUAUUUUCAGAGGCUGUCCGUUG